GUGAUAAGUACUUAGGUAUUGCUGUUUCUAUGAUAACUGUUAGUGGUCAGUACUUAGGCAUUGCUGUUCCUACAAUAACUGUUGGUGGUAAGUACUUAGGCAUUGCUGUUCCUAUAAUAACUGUUAGUGGUCAGUACUUAGGCAUUGCUGUUCCUACAAUAACUGUUAGUGGUCAGUACUUAGGCAUUGCUGUUCCUACAAUAACUGUUAGUGGUCAUGCCACCAUAACUCUAUGCUAUAAAGCUUCAGGAAGAAGUGGUUUUCUAGGGAAUUUUUAAAACUUGCCAGGUGUUAUAAUGAAAGGCUUUGAAAGUGAGCAGCAUAGAAAAUAAAGGGACUGGAGUUGCCUGAACAGAGCUGCAGUUGCAGUAGCAGUGAGCUGCCUCAGCUAGGCGCGGCCACAACCACCCUGGCAGAUACAUCUUUCUGGGCAACUGGCUCUCAUUUCUCCACAGUCAGGUUCUCAAAAUCGGGUGCCAAAAAUUCUUACGCAGCGACUGCAGUAGCUCAGGUAAGGAAGGUGACAUACGAAUGCUGGGGGUGGGGGUGGGGAGUUCCCAUGUCACCACCUCUCCCAGAUCAAUUCCACAGAUCAAGUUGACAAGGCUGGCACCAACUGUAAUAAUUUGGGGAGCUUCCUAGAAUUACAGCCGCUGUCCCAGCAGUUACGGCAGCUGCAUGACCCAGGAUGAGCCAUAUCUAUAAAAAGACAAGUCAGACAGCCACUGCCAGGUGGCACCGAACGGCAAAUCCAAGCCAGGACAACUGUGGAUGGCACAAUCGAACCCAUGGAGCCCCAACGACCAGAUACACAGACGUGCCCAGAUUGUUCCUUAAUCUCACAAUAACGAAAAACGGGCACUUUAAGUGUUUAAGUUUUCUGGACCCCACCUAUCCUGUAGUGAGAGCUUACCUUUUAUAAUAAAAAGUAAUGCCUGGAGUACCACAAUAGCACCCCUAUAAAGUAGCAUUUCAUUUACUCGCCAGAGCACGGAAGGUAAACACUGCAAAAGCCCUGGGACUUGCCACAGUGGGGACGUUUCUAGGAGUUCCAUGAGUUCGGAGCUCAGGGGACAACCCCACACCACCCAGGUGUGCUGCUCCUACCCAGGCCUGAGCAGCUCGCAGAACUGUGUGUCCAGGUGGGGCCUGGAGCAAGCCAGCAUCCGCACCAGACCCACACUGGGGCCCGGGCAGCCUGGCCGCGUAACCCUCACAACCCAAGACCCCGUAAAGGAAUUAUAGUACAAAACCCUGGGAUUUUCACUCGAGGUAAAUUACUCUUUUGCUGCCAACGGUUCUCUGCUCGAGAAACAUUUCUCCAGCUGUCCCUAAGGCCUGAGCAGUGGGAAUCAAGCAACUGGACAUCCCAAUCUGCCCAUCACCAACUGGAUGAUUUCUAACAUGGUUUGAACAUUUCAUCAGGAAAUACAAAUUCUAUCUGUAAGAGUAACGCCAGAUAGUUCUGGAUGACACAAAUAAACUGAAGGAACGGGUGACUCAGACACCCACGGUGCGGGGUCACACCGUUGGGCCAAGUUUCCCUCACCCCGCAGCUGUGGUUUCCUGCAGGGCAAAGGGACAGGAUCAAAAGUGAGGCCCAGGUCGAUGGACAGGAAGGCACAUGGGCAGACAUGAACCACGCGCAUUAGGGCCCUGCUCAGGGGUGCCCCUGACAUGAAAAGCUGAAUCCUGUUAGACACAGUGCGCCCCGUGACCCACGUAUGUGGGAGGAGAGAAGGCGUGAGUCACAGACGCUGCACCACGGCCGUGGCUGACGGGCUGGCCCAUCAGGAUACAGACGAGACAGACGACGGGGCAAGAAGUCAACGGGAGGUGUGCGGAGGGCCCCCGGGAGUACAUGCAGCCUGAGUGGAUCUGUUGCUUCCAUAUAAAUAUAAAUGCCACCAAGGUGUAGCUCUCAGCCCUGUGUUAAUGGUCAGCUCUCUUUCUAGUCCCCCGAGAUCCCUCCUCCAGCCUUCCCAAAUUUCCAGUCCUCCAGCAUUCCCAAAUUUCCAGUCCUCCAGCAUUCCCAAAUUUCACCCAAGACGGCCACGUGCACAGUGACCAUGUGACACGCGUACAGACCACGCACAGAACGUGUCUGCUGACUAAAUGACUUUCCAUUUAGCCCACGCAGACUGGCGGUCUUCCUCCACAGCGCGCACCGGGCCGCUGACGUUCAUUGUCCAGGUCCCGGUAUGCCUCCGUUCUUCAGGGGGACCAUUCGGCUUCUUGGAACCUAACAUGCUUCUGCCUGGACAAGCUUUCGUGAACUUAGAAAAAGCCAAGGACGCUGUCCAGGAACCAGGGACCUUCCUGGAUGCCUUCUAGUCCUGGAGUGUGUGACAGUACCGGCCACCUGUAUUUUGCAGCCACCAAGUAAAGAUGGCAUAAUCAUCCAUGUCCUAUGGGAAUUAAGGCUUGGAUUACCACACCAGGUUGAAAAGGGAAAGAAAAUCCCUCUGUCAAAAGCCGUAGGCAAAGAGUAAGAGGGCGGGGAGUGCGUGGCAUGAAUGACAGAAGUAGGAGGCUACGGGCAGUCGCACACUCAGGCUGCAGGAAAGAUGACAGGGGCAGGGACGUUAGCCGUUCUGUUGCAGUUCUUUGACAAACUCCCCUUCUCCCCUGUUCUCUGCUACCAGACACGAAGGGCACUCGUGACGGGUAACGCUCCAAUCCUGGUUCUGCUGGGAGUGUGACAAAAUUGGCAUUCCCCGCAGUGACCUGUGGGGCUACCAGGACUUUGCAUUGGCAUUCCCCGCAGUGACAUGUGGGGCUACCAGGACUGGGGAAGAGGGCAGGGUAAGAGGGCAGGCAAACACAGUGUCCUUCCACAAACCUGGACGGCGCAGCCCGUCACCACACUGAGCGCCUCAGGCAGCUGCAGCGCAAUGGCGUCCGUGCAUCUGGACAUGGAAAGGGAGAUGCGCUGCCCUGCGACGUCACGACGGCUAUGAGGCCACUGGGUGAUAGGAAUUUUCAUCUCCAUUACAGUCUUACCGGACCACUGUUGCACUCGAGGUCCACUGCAGCCGGGAAUGCACACGCAGCUCUGUGCCAGGUGGAGCAGAUGCACACUACAGGGAAGGGAAGAACCAACAGGCUGCUGCGCCCACGUGGAUGUGUUUAACUCAACGGAACUUAGUGCUGGAAUUGCUCAGUUGUCUCGCAUGUCAGAUCACAGCCUCACAGGAAAUUCUCCACGUCAGAGGCCUAGAGCAUCUUUACUAAGAAUCAUACGCAGUAUGUAAAAGAAAUUCUUAAAGCUGGUAACAUAAGGGAGGAGAAAGCCCUGUGGUUUUCCUGCCUCCUGGGAGUUCUCUCUGAGACACAGAAGAUGAUUACUGGAGUGAUGGCCUUUGCCAAAUAAAAUCAUCUGGGCUGGGCCUCUUACCAGCUCCGAUGCUAAUACACAUUGCAGGUACCACACUGCAUGCUAGCCAUAGAAUUAUUAAAUUCUGAAAUCAGCUGUUUGCUAUUGUUGAAGACAAAAUAAGAAAGGAUUAACAUGUAAGAAUCUCUAUAAAUUGGUAAAGUAAAAAUAGCUCAGACAAUACACUAUUUUAUAUCUAGAUUGGUAUAUGCAUUUUGGAUAUAAUUCAUCCUACAUGCUAACUUUAAAUUAGUUAUUUUUUUUCCUUCCUAAUGGGGUUGAUAAAUUAGUUAUUUUUAUUUGAAAAUAUAUAGCAUGGGUUUUUGCAUGUGAAGUUUGUUUUCAAGCUUUGUGGCUUUU